GACGCACACACACAAACACACACCUCCAUCAGACACACACACACAAACACACACCUCCAUCAGACGCACACACACAAACACACACCUCCAUCAGACACACACACACAAACACACACCUCCAUCAGACACACACACACACACAAACCUCCAUCAGACACACACACACAAACACACACCUCCAUCAGACACACACACACACAAACCUCCAUCAGACACACACACACAAACACACACCUCCAUCAGACACACACACACACACACAAACACACACCUCCAUCAGACGCACACACACAAACACACACCUCCAUCAGACACACACACACAAACACACACCUCCAUCAGACACACACACACACACAAACCUCCAUCAGACACACACACACAAACACACACCUCCAUCAGACACACACACACACGUCUCCAUCAGACACACACACACAAACACACACCUCCAUCAGACACACACACACACACACACACAAUGGACUGAGGGUCUUGGGCCCAUGCAACCAUGAACUAUGUGUGAUGAGUUCUCAUCUCACAUCUCUAUAUUCUGGGCCUCUGGUGGUCUCUAUUGGUCACUGUAUGUAAUUACAUUUCUAUUCAACCUCAGGUACGAGGCUGGAAUUGAUUCAUUCAAUAUAUUUGAAAGAAAACUGAUAUUAUUUCAAUUAAAGUCUGCAUUGAACCAUCCUAUUGCAGCUGCUGCUACUGUAUAUUAUAAACAUUUCUGGUUUUUGUUGAUCUGUUUAUGCUUGACUAACCGACAGUCAGGGGCCAAGACUCUAAAGCAAAACCUUUCUCCCCUCUAAGCCAAAGUGGAAUUAUUUUCUUACUGGUGGUGAUGGCAGAAUUCCCAGUACAGAAUUCGGGCCUCUGAGCUCCGAUACCGCUCCUGAAUCCCAUACCCGGCAAGGCAUCAUCGCUUUCCUGGUGGUCACAGUGGAGGACACCCCUUCUAGGUCAAGUCAAGUCAAGUCAGACACACACACACACACACACACACACACACACACACACACACACACACACACACACACACACACACACACACACACACACACACACACACACACACACACACACACACACACACACACACACACACAGCCUCAUAGGUUCAUACACACACACAGCCUCAUAGGUUCAUACACACACACAGCCUCAUAGGUUCACACAGUGUAAGUAAGCUACUCCCCGAGCCCAGAUAGGAUUUAGUUAUUAAAAAUGAGUAGUACUACUGUUGAGUAAAAGUUAGACAGUGUUAAUGUGACUACUGACUAAGGCUUCUCAUACUGAACUUGAAGGAUCCCUCACACAGAGGACAAAACAGAAAAGAUGUCCGAUAAAACUGCAGUUCCUCACAAUAAAAUGACAGCUCUUAAGAUUGUUAAAAUAGAAUGAAGACCAGCUCUAUAUAUGACAUUAAAACAAAAUGUUUUGAGCUGAUUGGAACUCUGGAUCCAAUUCAUUAAGACAGGCCUUUGAAGGCGUUAGAAAAGUCCCCUUUAUCAAUAUGUUCUCUGGGCUGGCUCAGUCCAGUCCAACCUGCAUUGAGUAAUAUGUGGAUUCAAGCUUCAGGUAGAUAGCUGUGAGGAAAGGCUCUCUUUUCUUUCUCUGACUCCCCAGUAAACAUGAACCCAUUGGCCCCAUGUGGGUAUUCGGUGGGCAAGGUGGGCUAGCCCACACCAACCCCACACCAACCCAACACAGGCUAGCCCACACCAACCCCACACCAACCCAACACAGGCUAGCCCACACCAACCCCACACCAACCCAACACAGGCUAGCCCACACCAACCCCACACCAACCCAACACAGGCUAGCCCACACCAACCCCACACAGGCUAGCCCACACCAACCCCACACCAAUCCAACACAGGCUAGCCCACACCACACCAACCCCACACCAACCCAACACAGGCUAGCCCACACCAACCCCACACAGGCUAGCACACACCAACCCCAAACCAAUCCAACACAGGCUAGCCCACACCAACCCCACACCAACCCAACACAGGCUAGCCCACACCAACCCCACACCAACCCCACACCAACCCCACACAGGCUAGCACACACCAACCCCAAACCAAUCCAACACAGGCUAGCCCACACCAACCCCACACCAACCCAACACAGGCUAGCCCACACCAACCCCACACAGGCUAGCCCACACCAACCCCAAACCAAUCCAACACAGGCUAGCCCACACCAACCCAACACAGGCUAGCCCACACCAACCCAACACAGGCUAGCCCACACCAACCCAACACAGGCUAGCCCACACCAACACAACACUGGCCAGGCCACACCAACACAGGCUUGCCCACACCAACACAACACAGGCUUGCCCACACCAUCCCAACACAGGGUAGCCCACACCAACACAACACGGCAAGGUCACACCAACCCAACACAGGGUAGCCCACACCAACCCAACACAGGGUAGCCCACACCAACACAACACGGGCAAGGUCACACCAACACAACACGGGCAAGGUCACACCAACACAACACGGGCAAGGUCACACCAACACAACACGGGCAAGGUCACACCAAGCCCAGCUAGAGGCGGGGGCUCAUUAGAAUAUUUGGGGGCGUGGUUUACACACAGUUGUUUUUGUGCAGCCGUUACUGAGAGUGUGGUUCCUGUUGAAGUGUGGUUCCUGUUGAAGUGUGGUUCCUGUUGAAGUGUGGUUCCUGUUGAAGUGUUCUGUGUUGUGCUGCCUAUAUCCUGAUGAUCUUGUAAACGGCUAAUGAUCAAGUCUUUAGAAACACUUAUAUAAAUGUUUCUCUUGUUAAAUAUAUUCUGUAUGUAUGAUGGUAAUAACUUGGUUGUCUUUCUGAAAAAAUUGUAUCACGUUCCAUAAAUACCUGUAAGAGUAGAAAAUUAUGCAAUUUAUGCAUUGAAUUAAGUUUAAAUAAAUAAAUAUUAAAUAGCGAAGGCGCAUCAGCCCAAUGUGGGCAGCUUACAAGGGGUCAAUAUUUUAGCCUGCAUUGGGUUCAAAUCGUGACAAUUUGGACAUGUUUGCUGGGAAAAGAAGGGUGUAUUUCAGACAAAGUGACAGCUGCCUCACCAGAUCUGGGCUGCCCACACUGAGCCACACUGGGCAAAUGCCUUGGGGGCCAAUGUGGAGCCGAUGAGCAAAGGCGCAUCGGCCCAAUGUGGGCAGCCUAGAUGGGGCCAAUAUUUUAGCCCGAAUUGGGCCCACAUCGAGACAAUGUGGACAUGUUUGCUGGGGCUAAAACCUACAAUCUCUAGUUCCUUGUAAUUUUAUCGCUCUCUCCACGGUGCCGUGAGAAAACAAUAUAGUCCAAAUCUCCCAAUCUCCUUAAUGUUGUUCUAAUCUAAUGGAUCAUACACACACCUAAUGUCUCACAUUGGGCAUAUUAAGCAGAUUGCCUGCGUUAAACUACUGCUGUCAGAGCAGCAUGACAGACAUUACCAGCACUUAAGGCACAUUGUUUGUGUGUGUGAAUGUGUGUGUGUGUGUGUGUGUGUGUGUGUGUGUGUGUGUGUGUGUGUGUGUGUGUGUGUGUGUGUGUGUGUGUGUGUGUGUGUGUGUGUGUGUGUGUAUGUAUGUAUGUAUGUAUGUAUGUGUUUGUCUGCAUGUAUGUGUGUGUGUUUGUAGGUGUGUAUGUGUGUUCGAACAUCCCAAAUCUAAUUUUGCCCAUUCAUACGAGUCUGUAAUCAUGCCCGAACGUUUGGUCCAUUUAAAAUGUAAAAAAUGGCUGAAUAAAGUAAUCAUAUCAUGCUGCUGCUCUACAACUGUGCUGUCACCUCUACCGUGAUCAUUAGAGACAGGACCUGAGAGACAAUGACAACAUCAAUGCUUGGCUAACAACUAUUACUGUAAUAAAUAUGUGUAUGGAUCUGAAAGGCCUUGGUAGAACAAUGGAUGUCUUUAAUACCAUACAAACCCCAUAAACACAAUAUCUGCUUUACAUGCCACUGUUCUUAAGGCCGACACACACACACACACACACACACACACACACACACAC
rnacentral:lncRNA from 1 species